rnacentral:rRNA from 1 species
CGCUGGCGGCGUGCUUAACACAUGCAAGUCGAACGGAAAGGUCUCUUCGGAGAUACUCGAGUGGCGAACGGGUGAGUAACACGUGGGUGAUCUGCCCUGCACUUCGGGAUAAGCCUGGGAAACUGGGUCUAAUACCGGAUAGGACCACGGGAUGCAUGUCUUGUGGUGGAAAGCGCUUUAGCGGUGUGGGAUGAGCCCGCGGCCUAUCAGCUUGUUGGUGGGGUGACGGCCUACCAAGGCGACGACGGGUAGCCGGCCUGAGAGGGUGUCCGGCCACACUGGGACUGAGAUACGGCCCAGACUCCUACGGGAGGCAGCAGUGGGGAAUAUUGCACAAUGGGCGCAAGCCUGAUGCAGCGACGCCGCGUGGGGGAUGACGGCCUUCGGGUUGUAAACCUCUUUCACCAUCGACGAAGGUCCGGGUUCUCUCGGAUUGACGGUAGGUGGAGAAGAAGCACCGGCCAACUACGUGCCAGCAGCCGCGGUAAUACGUAGGGUGCGAGCGUUGUCCGGAAUUACUGGGCGUAAAGAGCUCGUAGGUGGUUUGUCGCGUUGUUCGUGAAAUCUCACGGCUUAACUGUGAGCGUGCGGGCGAUACGGGCAGACUAGAGUACUGCAGGGGAGACUGGAAUUCCUGGUGUAGCGGUGGAAUGCGCAGAUAUCAGGAGGAACAC